rnacentral:lncRNA from 1 species
GUUUUAUUUUAUUUAUUUAUUUUUUUACACAUGUUUUAAUAAUUGCUAUUUACCUAGAAACAGCCAAGGUUUCACUUAGACUUACAGUAGAGAAUAGGGUUAAUUUCUUGUUUUCUACACAACCAAGUGGGAAGAAAAAAUGGCCAUUGUUUAUACCAAUACACAUGUGGAAAAUUAUAUUUUCUUUGAAGAGGCAGGAUAUUUUAAGGUAUCAUGGAGAAAGUGGUGGAAGGGGUGGGUUUUUUUUCAGAGAAAACAGAAGGAUCCGGUUCUUUAUGUUUCCGAUGCUUUUCACAGAUGUGACUUAUUGGUUUUGACAUCAGAUGUUCAUAUGUUGGUUUGAUUUAUGGAGCAGCUAAUUCUAAGGGUGGGAAAAUCAGAACAGAAAUUUUGGAAUAUCAAUCACAAUCGUCAUCUGCUUCCUUGUCUGGCCUGGCUAUAAUUUGUGGAUUCGACAUGUAAAUUAGACAUUUUCUUCUUUAAAAGGAAACUGGAAAGAGUAAUGUGUAUGCAUUGGUAAACAACACUUAUAUCUGCUUCAGGGGGAAAUGAUAAAGUUUUGAGUCUAUCUCUUAAAAAUGAGGACGAUCUUUGUCCUCAGUUAUUCAGACCCAGCUCCCAACAACUUUGUUUAGACUAGAGUUCUGUGUCUAGUUUGAAAGAAUAAUCAAAUAUAGUCGACAAAAUUUCGACCUUGCCUUGAUGUUUUGCAUUCUUUGCCUUGUGUUUGGGAGGGAGGAGAGUUGCUGGGCAGAUACGCAAGAGCAAUCAUUGUGCGAUGAUGGGAAGGAUGCAGGAAAGACUGAGUCCAGAGCUCCCCUCCUCCUACUGUGGCCGCCAAAUCAAGAGUUGGCUUGGAUGUGUCAUGACCUUGGCAGCCAGGCUGCCCUGAAGAGAUGCUUCUGGGUGGAAAGUAUUGAGAACAGAUCUUAUGGGUUUCGAUGAGAAGAAAAUUCAGGAAACCUUAAGAUUUACAUAUUUUCUAAUCUAUGGUUUUUAUCAGGACUCAUUAGGUAAUAUAAAUCAAGGUAAGUUGGGAACUUAACACAAUUAAACUCCUGUUUUCUGUAACAUUCAGCUAGCUGUUUAGAACUUCUCUGAAUCAAUUUUUACAAAUGAAAAAACCUAUCACAGUUAGGAUUAAUUUCCUCUUAUUGGACAUGGAGUGGCA